rnacentral:lncRNA from 1 species
CCCGCCCCUUCUCCCCCAGGACCAAGCACUGGUCUAGCAGCUCGGCAUCGCCCCCUCCCAAGAAAAAGAAGAAAAAGAAAGGCGGCCACCGGAGAAGCCGCAAAAAGAGGAGACUGGAGUCCGAGUGCAGCUGUGGGAGCUCCUCACCCCUCCGCAAGAAGAAGAAAAGUGUGAAGAAACAUCGCCGAGACAGGUCUGAUUCUGGGUCCCGGAGGAAGAGACGGCACAGAUCUCGAAGCUCCAAGAGUAAAAGAAAAGAGAAGAACAAAGAGAGGAAGAGGCCUCACACAGAGUCCCCAGGCCGGAGGUCUCACCGCCACAGCAGCGGCAGCUCCCACAGCCCCUCCCUGUCCUCCCACUACAGUGAUUCCAGAUCUCCUAGCAGGUAACCUGGGCCUCUGGGAGGCUUUCUCCUGGUGGAG